rnacentral:rRNA from 3 species
AUAAGUUAAUACAACUUUCAACAACGGAUCUCUUGGCUCUCGCAUCGAUGAAGAACGCAGCGAAAUGCGAUAAGUAAUGUGAAUUGCAGAAUUCAGUGAAUCAUCGAAUCUUU